rnacentral:rRNA from 1 species
UACGUAGGGGGCAAGCGUUGUCCGGAUUUAUUGGGCGUAAAGAGCGUGUAGGCGGCCUGAAAGGUCAGCUGUGAAAACUCGAGGCUCAACCUCGAGACGUCGGUUGAAACCAUCUGGCUAGAGUCCGGAAGAGGAGAGUGGAAUUCCCGGUGUAGCGGUGAAAUGCGCAGAUAUCAGGAGGAACACCAAUGGCGAAGGCAGCUCGCUGGGACGGUACUGACGCGUGGAGAACGCGAAAGCGUGGGGAGCAAACAGG